GUAGGGAAUAUUGGGCAAUGGAUGCAAGUCUGACCCAGCCAUCCCGCGUGCCGGAAGAAGGCCCUCAGGGUUGUAAACGGCUUUUGACGGUGAAGAACCGACAGGAUGCGUCCUGUUUUGACGGUAGCCGUUGAAUAAGCACCGGCUAACUCCGUGCCAGCAGCCGCGGUAAUACGGAGGGUGCGAGCGUUGUCCGGAUUUAUUGGGUUUAAAGGGUGCGUAGGCUGGUAGGUCAGUCAGCGGUGAAAAGCUAUCGCUUGACGAUAGUCUUGCCGCAGAUACUUCCUUUCUUGGAUGAGGAGGAGGCCACUGGAACGGAUGGUGUAGCGGUGAAAUGCAUAGAUAUCAUCCAGAACACCGAUUGCGAAGGCAGGUGGCUGUACCUUAAUCGACGCUGAUGCACGAAAGCAUGGGGAGCAAACAGGAUUAGAAACCCUAGUAGUCC
rnacentral:rRNA from 1 species